UACGUAGGGUGCGAGCGUUAAUCGGAAUUACUGGGCGUAAAGCGUGCGCAGGCGGUUUUGUAAGUCAGAUGGGAAAUCCCCGGGCUUAACCUGGGAAUGGCAUUUGGGACUGCAAGGCUGGAGUGCGGCAGAGGAGACUGGAAUUCCUGGUGUAGCAGUGGAAUGCGCAGAUAUCAGGAGGAACACCGGUGGCGAAGGCGGGUCUCUGGGCAGUAACUGACGCUGAGGAGCGAAAGCGUGGGGAGCGAACAGG
rnacentral:rRNA from 1 species